rnacentral:rRNA from 1 species
CACGUAGGCACCAAGCGUUGUCCGGAUUUAUUGGGCGUAAAGAGCUCGUAGGCGGUUCAGUAAGUCGGGUGUGAAAACUUUGGGCUUAACCCAAAGCGUGCAUCCGAUACUGCUGUGACUUGAGUUCGGUAGGGGAGUGGGGAAUUCCUAGUGUAGCGGUGAAAUGCGCAGAUAUUAGGAGGAACACCGGUGGCGAAGGCGCCACUCUGGGCCGAAACUGACGCUGAGGAGCGAAAGCAUGGGAUA